GAUGGGAGCUUGCUCCCUGAUGUUAGCGGCGGACGGGUGAGUAACACGUGGGUAACCUGCCUGUAAGACUGGGAUAACUCCGGGAAACCGGGGCUAAUACCGGAUGGUUGUUUGAACCGCAUGGUUCAGACAUAAAAGGUGGCUUCGGCUACCACUUACAGAUGGACCCGCGGCGCAUUAGCUAGUUGGUGAGGUAACGGCUCACCAAGGCGACGAUGCGUAGCCGACCUGAGAGGGUGAUCGGCCACACUGGGACUGAGACACGGCCCAGACUCCUACGGGAGGCAGCAGUAGGGAAUCUUCCGCAAUGGACGAAAGUCUGACGGAGCAACGCCGCGUGAGUGAUGAAGGUUUUCGGAUCGUAAAGCUCUGUUGUUAGGGAAGAACAAGUGCCGUUCAAAUAGGGCGGCACCUUGACGGUACCUAACCAGAAAGCCACGGCUAACUACGUGCCAGCAGCCGCGGUAAUACGUAGGUGGCAAGCGUUGUCCGGAAUUAUUGGGCGUAAAGGGCUCGCAGGCGGUUUCUUAAGUCUGAUGUGAAAGCCCCCGGCUCAACCGGGGAGGGUCAUUGGAAACUGGGGAACUUGAGUGCAGAAGAGGAGAGUGGAAUUCCACGUGUAGCGGUGAAAUGCGUAGAGAUGUGGAGGAACACCAGUGGCGAAGGCGACUCUCUGGUCUGUAACUGACGCUGAGGAGCGAAAGCGUGGGGAGCGAACAGGAUUAGAUACCCUGGUAGUCCACGCCGUAAACGAUGAGUGCUAAGUGUUAGGGGGUUUCCGCCCCUUAGUGCUGCAGCUAACGCAUUAAGCACUCCGCCUGGGGAGUACGGUCGCAAGACUGAAACUCAAAGGAAUUGACGGGGGCCCGCACAAGCGGUGGAGCAUGUGGUUUAAUUCGAAGCAACGCGAAGAACCUUACCAGGUCUUGACAUCCUCUGACAAUCCUAGAGAUAGGACGUCCCCUUCGGGGGCAGAGUGACAGGUGGUGCAUGGUUGUCGUCAGCUCGUGUCGUGAGAUGUUGGGUUAAGUCCCGCAACGAGCGCAACCCUUGAUCUUAGUUGCCAGCAUUCAGUUGGGCACUCUAAGGUGACUGCCGGUGACAAACCGGAGGAAGGUGGGGAUGACGUCAAAUCAUCAUGCCCCUUAUGACCUGGGCUACACACGUGCUACGAAUGGACAGAACAAAGGGCAGCGAAACCGCGAGGUUAAGCCAAAUCCCACAAAAUCUGUUCUCAGUUCGGAUCGCAGUCUGCAACUCGACUGCGUGGAAGCUGGAAUCGCUAGUAAUCGCGGAUCAGC
rnacentral:rRNA from 1 species